rnacentral:rRNA from 1 species
AACGAACGCUGGCGGCAGGCUUAACACAUGCAAGUCGAACGCCCCGCAAGGGGAGUGGCGCACGGGUGAGUAACGCGUGGGAAUAUGCCCUUCGGUUCGGAAUAACACAGGGAAACCUGUGCUAAUACCGGAUACGAUCUACGGAUGAAAGAUUCAUCGCCGAGGGAGUAGCCCGCGUCAGAUUAGCUAGUUGGUGGGGUAAUGGCCUACCAAGGCGACGAUCUGUAGCUGGUCUGAGAGGAUGAUCAGCCACACUGGGACUGAGACACGGCCCAGACUCCUACGGGAGGCAGCAGUGGGGAAUAUUGGACAAUGGGGGAAACCCUGAUCCAGCCAUGCCGCGUGAGUGAUGAAGGCCUUAGGGUUGUAAAGCUCUUUCGUCGGGGAAGAUAAUGACGGUACCCGAAGAAGAAGCCUCGGCUAACUCCGUGCCAGCAGCCGCGGUAAU